CUGGAGUAGGCUUGCAGGGAGGCCCCAAGCAAGCAAGGAAGGAGGCAGACAGGCAACAUGGCCCCCACAGAUCUCUGCAGCAGACCCUCUGCUCAGCCCAGCAUUUGCCAGGUGUUAACAAGCUAAACAGAACCAUUGAACAAUCUGAACAAUACACCUGAAGACUCAGCAAGUCAGGAAGGUCUCAGAGGUUGUACCAUGUAAAAGUCAAGUAAUUAAACACUGACUACUACUGUAAAAAAAAAAAAAGACUGCUGGGAAAGUUUGGACUCCAAAGGUCUAAUUUCACACAGAAGAUUUCAGUAGAAAUAAAGCCUUCAUAUUCCACUUGACUUGAUCUGAAAGAAAGGGAUAAGAAAAAAGAUUAGGAGGCCUAUUCAGUGCUUUAUUUCUGCGGUUGAGCUAUGGGAGGUGACAAACAGUUACGGUUAAUUCACUGCGUAAUCUUUCCCCUAAGAUGGCAUUUAGAAGUCUCCUCAAAAUUUGGCUCAACAUCUAUGGUGUCAUUAUUCUCACAAAGUACAAAGCCACAUCCUUUCUGCUCUCUUGGCAACGGAUUAAAUGUUUUGAGUUCUGAGACAUAUCUAAUUGAAAAGAGUGUUUGCAAACACCGUGAAGACCAUUUCACCUCAUCGUGGUGCAUUCUUCUUCACAAGGUUAAAAAGGGCUUCCUUGAGACAUGUGCUUUUGACUUGUUUCCUUUUCUUCUUCUUCUAAGAAGAGUCUCUUUGCCCCAUGGACUGUCAUCACUAGAAUGUUAAUGGAAAGGGUGGAAAAACACUCUUGGAACUAUAACAAUUUCCCAAGAGACAGACUAGUCAUUUUCUCCCUGCUGCUGCACUGCUUCUUCACAACAUGGAAAACUAGUUAGCUUCCACACACACCCCCCCCCCCAAUUCAAGGCUCUGAUUAUUAUCUUAUAGCCCUACACAGUUUCAGUUUGAUUAACUCACAGAUUUGCCUUUCACAGCAAAACAUGGGACUGGCUGCAAAUGACCUAUGGGACUUCAUUGGGGUCCAUAUGUUCAUGCUGAGCAGCCCAAGGCCUCUGGAUGCCUGAGCAGGAUCAGAUGUGACCAAGAGCAAGGAGGAACAAGAUGACUAGGAUGGUGAUGACUGGUGCCACAGCUCCCAUGAGAGAUUUUAGGAGUACUGGAGUUGGAACCAAUCUGCCACCUGCACCAAUUUGCCACCUAAAGCAGCUGCCUCAGCCAGCCUCACUGGCAGGCUGGCAAGAUCAUGAGGUAUAGUGCCUCAUAGAACAUUUGGGUGUUGGUCUCUAACAAAUAUAAAGGAAAACAAAGAGGCAUUUCACACAAGCAGUUUGAAGUGUCAAAGGGGUGCUAUGGGGAGAGUGGGUUUUCCCAACCCUCCCCACAGACGAUAUCUUACCUUUCCUUGGGGGACAGAUCACCCACCCAGAUAAACGGCAGCUCUCCUGUGGACUGCCUGUGGUUCAUCUGGCAGCUCUUGGAGUUGGGUGCAGGGAAGUGCCACUGUGUAGUGGCCUGCCCCCAGAGCCCCAAUAAUGCACUGUGUGAGUGCAUGCUGCGUUACUGGGAGCCCCUCUCUCCUCCCCAAGUGUGUCCACCAUGGCUAUAAGCAACCGUGGCAGACUCAUGUUCACUUAGUCCGGUUUUGGGGUGCACUCGCACCCCAAAGCCAGGUUAAGCAGCAGGCUACUUAAGUGGGCUCGCUGCCACAGUGCCGCUGGAAGCCACGCAGCUCCCGGAGGUUCUCACACACAACAAAAACCAGGCUGGCCUUCCCUAGCCCAGUUUUCGCUCCUUGUGAGAAUAGCUUCAACAUGUUCUAGCAAAAAAACCCUUUUAAAAUGGCACCUGCGUACUUCUUAAUAUUUUGUGUGUAUUUUAUUUACAAAUAUCCUAAAUAAAUUAAGUGACGUACGAUCCUGAGAUGUUAUAUUUGUUUGUCCCUGAGCUGAGUUUUAUCUGGAAGUUUUCCACACUAGGCUUUUAGCCCGCAUCUCCUCCAGAAUGGAGGGGGGGUGUUCUCAGUUUGGGCAGAUUUAUCUCAAACUCAAUGAGGCUAUUCCCAUGAUCACUGGAAAACAGGCUAAGGGAGUUUAGCCUGCUUUCCAAUGAUCAUGGGAACCAUCGGGCUUUCAGGCAUGCCUGAUGCUCCCAAAGUGGCUAGCUCACCUAAAACACCCUUCCCUUAAAUGAGGUUAAUGGAGCGGAGCACUUAACCUUGUUUUCCUGGUCAUGUGUCACUGCGGCGCAUGGCGACACAUGAGUAGACCCCUGACUGGGAGGUUACAAGCAGCCUUUCGGUAUCGGGGGUCCCCCAGAGUGCACUGUGAACUUAUGUGGGGCAUCCCCGCAGCCCCCACCAGCUCCGCAAUGGAGCCGGUACUCAUGUUGGUGGCCAGUACGGCCACUCAGGGCAACAUGACUGCUCAUCUGCAGGGAGACCAGAACCCUCCCAGACGCUACACACGGAUCAUGUAUAGAGCCUCUCUGUGAGCUAUCAGGGAGCACUUCACACACAUUUCAGGUUUUUCAUUGUGCAUUAGAAUGUAACCCAAUUUCUA